rnacentral:rRNA from 1 species
GCAUAUCAAUAAGCGGAGGAAAAGAAACCAACAGGGAUUGCCUCAGUAGCGGCGAGUGAAGCGGCAAAAGCUCAAAUUUGAAAUCUGGCGUCUUUGGCGUCCGAGUUGUAAUUUGAAGAAGGUAUCUUUGGGCCCGGCUCUUGUCUAUGUUCCUUGGAACAGGACGUCACAGAGGGUGAGAAUCCCGUGCGAUGAGAUGACCCGGGUCUGUGUAAAGUUCCUUCGACGAGUCGAGUUGUUUGGGAAUGCAGCUCUAAGUGGGUGGUAAAUUCCAUCUAAAGCUAAAUAUUGGCGAGAGACCGAUAGCGAACAAGUACAGUGAUGGAAAGAUGAAAAGAACUUUGAAAAGAGAGUGAAAAAGUACGUGAAAUUGUUGAAAGGGAAGGGCUUGAGAUCAGACUUGGUAUUUUGCAUGCUGCUCUCUCGGGGGCGGCCGCUGCGGUUUACCGGGCCAGCAUCGGUAUGGAGCGGCAGGAUAAUGGCGGAGGAAUGUGGCACGCCUUCUUUUUUGUUUAGCCUCUGACGAUACUCCCGCCUGACCGAGGACUCGG